UACGUAGGGGGCAAGCGUUGUCCGGAAUCAUUGGGCGUAAAGAGCGUGUAGGCGGCCUGAUAAGUCGGUUGUGAAAGUCAAGGGCUCAACCCUUGAAUGCCGACCGAUACUGUCAGGCUAGAGUCCGGAAGAGGCGAGUGGAAUUCCUGGUGUAGCGGUGAAAUGCGCAGAUAUCAGGAGGAACACCAAUGGCGAAGGCAGCUCGCUGGACAGGUAUUGACGCUGAGGUGCGAAAGCGUGGGGAGCAAACAGG
rnacentral:rRNA from 1 species